rnacentral:rRNA from 1 species
UACGGAGAGUGCAAGCGUUGUUCGGAAUUACUGGGCGUAAAGGGCGUCUAGGCUGCUUGCCAAGUCAGAUGUGAAAUCCCUGGGCUCAACCGAGGAAGUGCAUCUGAAACUGGUGAGCUUGAGUACCGGAGGGGGCAGCGGAAUUCCCGGUGUAGAGGUGAAAUUCGUAGAUAUCGGGAGGAACACCAGCGGCGAAGGCGGCUGCCUGGUCGGAUACUGACGCUGAAGCGCGAAAGCGUGGGGAGCAAACAGG